rnacentral:lncRNA from 1 species
UUCCACUACCGACAUCAAACGUUUACACAUUUAAAAUCUAACUGUUCCCGAUGAUCAACGGACAUGAUCCAAAGGAAUUUUGAAACCAGUAACCGGAAGUUUUAAUUAUUGCCAUGCUGUAAACAAAGACAAAGGAAACGUACAAAAUAAAGAAUAACCUUAUCAUGCGUUAAAACUGGUAAGAUAUGACACUAGUUCACAUUUAUAAAUCAUUGUUAUGCUUCUAAAAUAUAUCUUGGUUAAUUUGUUUAAUAUAUUCAAACAAUAAAUACGAGUGUAAGCAAGUAUAAUACAAAAAGGGGGAUGAUGAUAAUUUAGUCUGCCUUGAUGUUGUGAUGUGUAUGUCCAGUGAACAUUAGAAUUAUACAAACAGGGUUAAACUUAAGGUUUUUUUAUAUUAUUUUAAAGUCUAUAAAUGCAAUCACUUGUAACCACUGAGCAUGUCUGAAAAGUUCUGUUAUAAGCAUUACAAGUCAGCCCAUUAUUUGCUUUAACAGACAGGGCAAUACUUUAUUUGCUCCAUCGCUGGCUACACAUCUACUUAUCAAGGGAAUCUCAAAUACGCAAUGAUUAUCAAAGCUUUUGCUAUUUGACAAAGCGAGUGUUGUUGCCUCUAUAAUAUAUUGUUUUAUGUUUUUGUAACUUGUACUUUUGUGUUGAGCCCUACAAGUAACAACCUAUCACCCAGCCAGAUAAUUAUUUAUGUGCCGAUCCAAAGACAGGAGUUUGAUUCAGUAGUUGCCGGUUCAUUUCUGACAAAUUUGUUUUUUCGUUAAACUUUAUAAAUUAUGCCAUUCCUUUCAUUGUUAGAAUUGUUUAAAUUAUACGACUUUACAGGACGUAUUAUGGUAAUGUAUACUGUGUCCGUCUGUCGGUCGGCCUGUUCGUUCCUCUAUCUGUUGCGUCAACAUGUCCGACACUAACUCAAAAAAGCUUUAACCAAUUUGAAUAACACUGGAUUGUUUAUAUACAUGGAGCAGCUGUUCACUUUUAAAUGUUGUGGCCUUUGUAGCUGACUAUUACACUGUGACUUUUUCUAACUUAUAUUUUAUUCAUUUGUUUAUUUUAACUUUUGUAGGAUCAAUUAGACGUUCCAAAAUUUAUGAUAAAUUUUCUGAAAUGCAGAUUAAAAUGGAGAAUGGAAAUGGGGAUUUUAAAGAAGAAUAUAAGCUUAGAAAUGACUACAAAUAUCCUGGAAGAGCAAAUUUUUUGAAGGUAUUUAUUAUUUUAAAUCCUCAAUCUACAUUACAUGUAUUUGCACAAAAAUAUACAAUAACCAUUACAAAAUAUUUUUUUUAUGGAAGACCAAGAAAAUGUUACAGGUUCUUCAUGGCUGGCUACUCUUUAUAGUUGAGAAAACUAUAGUGUCUUAUUUUAAAAACUGGUGAAAUCUACCGUUACACUUGUUUAAUAAUAAAAAAAAACCUCUAGAUGUUUAAAAUAGCUACAAUUGUUGCUUCACAAUCAAUUAACACUGAUAAGUUGACACUUUUCAAUAUAUUUUUGUAAAACCGCUGGAUUUAAUGAAGAGAAAUAGUUUAUAGUGUAAUUUUGAUUAAAUUAACUGAAAUUUCAGCCACUUGUUUAAUCACUAAACUGAAGGACUAAUUUGCUUACACUUUAUUUUACAGAAGCCAGCAGAUGUCAAAGGAAAUAAAAAGAAUGGAACAAAGGAAACUUUGAAAAAGAACAGUGAUAUGAAAAUAUUGAAUAAAUGUUUUGCAUUUAUAAUUGUAGUUCUAUCUUGUAUAGUGUUGACUAAUUACUUAUAAGGUAGCAGAGAAAACAGUUAAAAAAACUAUGCAGAAGCAGAAAAAUGUCUGAGGGUACCUGUGAUCAAACAUGAGAUCAAGAAAUACUUUUAAAAAAAA